GUUAGGGAUCAUUAUAACGAACUCCAUGUGUUUUCUUCAUGAAGUAUUUAACUUCAUAGACAAACAUAUGCUUACUCUAAUAUGUAUUUAUUACCUACCCAUUGAUCGAGGAAAAGUUACCAAACUUAUACAACGACGUUUUCUGUGGUACGAUACGCACAUCCCUACAAAACAAAGAAUUUGCGAAAUUGGAUAUUUCUCAUUCAUUUGUUUUUUUUCAGUGACUGGUUUACUCUGGAUCGAAAGUGAUUGUGCGUAGUAAAAACUCAAAAAAGUAAGUUAUACGGAGGUGUAAUUAAAAAUAAAAUCCCGAGAAUCAUCUAACAGCGCCUAAUUUUACAUUAACAAUGAGUAAUGACAUUACCAUACGUUGUCUUAUGUUUAUUAUGGUUUAUGGCUGAACAGCUAUAAUAUUUUACGGCGAAAUAGACUACCGACUGCCACAGACUCCAUUUUAAAAGCGUUUCGCGACCUGACAGAAACCGCGAAUUUUCCACACAUGGGCCAGGCACACUUUUACUCGUAUAGUACUUACUGCGCCGUAAGUUAUUCUACUUAAGAGGAAAUACCAGCUGAGACCCAUAUGAGUUUCGAGAAUGUUAGGUAAAUAUCUACGUCGCACUGACGAGGACGGCUCCUAAAAUUAGUGCGAUAAGAACAACUACAGCUUAGGCGAAACAUCCUGCAUAAAAAGGAUAAUGACCUACAAAUUAAACACACAACUUAGACCAUGGUAGACAACGGGCUACUAUAAUAUUAUAAAUAUGAAUGUAACGAUAUCUGUCUCUCUGUACUUCUUCGCGCUUAAAUCGCUAAACGGAUUUAGGUAAAAUUUGGUAUGGAGAUAGUUUGAGGCCCAAGGAGGGACAUAAUAGUUUUUAUCAAUCAGAAACUAAUCAAUCAGUAGCUGCAAUAGGUAUGGAAAUGCCAAAGUGUCGUGAGAGUCGUGACCGCGAUUUUUCCUUCCUGUCCCAUCCAGCAGUUAAGUGAUCUGUAAUUUUUUGUCCCCAAUAAAUCGAUAUUUUUUCCCCGUCCUUUGUUUCUAUCAAUUCACGCGUCACCAUCACGCCACACGCAUCGCACGAUACGUUUCGCGCUCCGCCGGGCCCGAUAUACGUCUAAAAGGUAUUCCAUUAGCUUACCUAGACAAGUUGAAUUCUUCCAAAAAAUGAGAUUUUGUUAUUUUGUAUUCCAUUGUUACGUUGUUACUCUGCCAGAUGCGAACGGCUAAGGAGUGGAACUGACUUCAUACAAAUCUAUUCCCAGCCUACUAUAACUUGGAUCUUUUUAAAGCAAGAGUACAUAUUUGAGACAUAAUUUAGGUAAUCAUGCUCCAUCUUAGACUGCAUCUGCAUUUACCAUCAGUGAGAUAUCUUGGUCAAAUGCUUACCUUUUUCCAAUUACAAGAAAAUCGCUUUUGUGUAUCAUCAUCAUCAUCGUCUCCUAGCCGUUUUCGGCCACAGCAACUGUUUUCUACCGCUGAAAAGGUCGCUGGUGCGCUCUCAGGUGACUGACGUAGCCAAUCUUAGCAGCGAAUAUGCGGCCACACUCGCUGCAGGUCGGCACCCCUCCGAAGUAAUUAUAUGUCAUGGCCAUAGGUGGUCUGGCCUUUAGCUCGUCACGCUUAUCGUCAAGUUCUCUCUAUACAGAGGCAGAUAUCGUGUCAUCAUCACACGCAUCGCGCUGCGCUGGGCCCAAUAUGUCUGAGAGGAGAUGUCUGUCUAUUACAUUAGGUUACCUAGGCAAGUUGAGGGCUUAGAGGACCUAGCGAAUUACGAUUUUUUGUUAUCUGCCUAUAUCGCUUUUGCAUAUUCGAGCAAUAGUGAGGCAGAUCGCAUGACACCGUAAUGCUCCAUGCAUCGCGCGAUACGUUUUGCGCUUCACCGGACCCGAUAUACGUCCGAGAGUUUUUUCAUUACUUUACUGGGCACUGAUGAAGAAGCAUUGUUGUCCCCGCUAUCCGCGUCUGUAUGUAUGUCCGGCUUACUCACAGCAGACAGUAAAGUAGAUACAGAGUGUAUUACAAAUAGUGGGGAUCCGUUUAAGAUGGAAGAAUUGCUUUUUGAAUCUAACGAAGUUAACGAAAAAAGUACACGAAUAUUGAAAUAUUUUCAUACAAUAAUACAUUGUUUCACCAACUGAACGAAACGAGGAAGUAAGUAAAUUGAAUAAUGUACAAUGGGAUUGUCUUCAACAACAAUGUAUUAUUUAUCACGCGACGAUGUGGCUUAAUGCGGGCUGACACUUCGAAAUAAGGACACCUCUUAUAAUGUUCACUUACUAUUGAAGCCGAAUGCUAACUUUAACAACUUGGUCUAUAUUCGAUAGCACGGUUAGAGGCGCGGGUGCCGCGGCCGCUGCUGGACCCCAUCGCGAGCGCGGACUUCUGGCCGAAGAGUGUGGUACAUAUUUCGGCGGUUCCGUGGGAAUCUGCCGAAUGCUACACCGGAACAUGCGACGCAACGGAAAACAGUGUCGACGAAAAGACGAAAAACUUUCAAGAAUUUGAUUUUUGAAUUUUGAUUUGAUUAUUACACAAAAGAAAAACGUAAUGUACAAAAAGCGAACUUAAUGCCAUGACGCAUUCUCUAUACCUUAUACUCGUAUCUUAUUUUUUUAUGUUACUAUGUGCCUCUAUGGGUCUUUGUGUAUCUACGAGUAUGGGCCUUAGUUGCCUGAUAAUAAAUGAUAUUCAAUUUUUAACCUGAAUCAUUUUUUGCUAACUAGUUACAUAUUUCGUUUAUAUAACUAGAUUACUUUAGCCCUUCAAAGGUAAAAGAUAAUCAUAAAGUUGUUGUAUAUCUAGGCAUUUUAGCCCUUUUUAUCUUCCUGCAACUCAAUUUCAGUUUAAUAGUACUUUUCUUUUAUAUUCAUGGCAGCUUUUCCUUAUUGCAAACCCAAAAGAGGAUAUUAGAAUGACGUCGUUGUGUUGAGAAUUACCUCCAGUGGCUUUAUAUUGUAUAUUUUGGUGGAGCGGUGACGCAGCUAAUGUGGAUCGACAGAUCGACACAUGUACGCUUCCUGACCCCGAAUGAAGACUUUUAGUAAUGGAAUAAUUCUUUCUACUUUUUACUGUUUAAGUCUACAAUUAUAAGGUUGGUCAAUUACUGUUUUGACGACCUGUCUGGCCUAGUGGGUAGUGUCCCGGCCUAUGAAGCCAAUGGUCCCGGGUUCAAAUCCUGGUUAGGCCAUUUAUUUCUGUGAUAAGCACGAAUAUUUGGUCCUGAGUCGUGGGUGUUUUCUAUGUAUGUAAGUAUUCAUACAUAUUUAUAUACUAUGUACAUCGUUGUCUUUUUUAAUAUCUAGAAGCUUUUAGCGAUGACUGUACACAGGCAACUAAUUAAUACUCAUCUAGACAAUUCUAAUAAACCCUAAAAUAAUUAGGUUCCUAUGGCCACCUCCUGUGUCCAUCAUCAGACCACCUCAAUAGUCUGGCAAAAUUUAAGCUCAAUCGAAUAAUGGGAAGUGGAUCUAAUUUAGCUUGCUUUUAAAAUUCAUACCUUGUCUUAAUAACAAUAAAACACAUAAUAUAUUUUCCAAUAUUUUUAAUUCUCGUCGCCCAAGUGCAAAAACUUUUGAAUAAAAAGUGUGCACGGCUGAAUAAGUUAUUCAAGUUGACUUUUUAAAUUUCAUUCAUUAAAAAAUCACAACGGAGUCGGGUCAGGAAGGUCAAAAUUACCAUAAAAUUGUGAAAUUAGGUUGUUUUAGCAAUUCACAGUGUUUGCACUGCUUGUGUUUAUGCGGGUGAAUAAUGUGUCCGGCAAGAAAAUAAAUAGCCAUGGACAAAAAGCGAAAUUAACUACUUUUUCACUUGACUGAAAUAUAACAGCGGUAUAACAUGCAUGUAUGUAUGUAGGUAUAUUUAUACUUAUAAUUAUACAGCACGCCCUGCACGCUGAAAUAAACACGGAAAUUAUAAAUCAUCAAUAUUCUAACCCUCCAAAAUCAUAUACUCAUCAUAUAUAAGAAAUAGGAAUAUCUCCUCUAAUUUUGAACACGUACACUUCUCCACACUGUCCUUGUUGAAACUGUAUAUUUUAAUCUUGUGUAUUUCUUUAGCACUUAACAGUUUGACUUAAUUCGCCAAUAGAUGGCAUAAGUAGUAGCGAUUUUGGAAAUUUAUUAUGGUUGUUUUUGUUGGCAAUUAACACAAUAAUAUUUGUAAAAUGAUUUCGAAUAACAUAUGUAAUAUUUUGGAUUUAAAGUCAUAACUUAGCGAUUUGAUGUUUAAGAAAAAUAAUUACUAAAUUAAUCAAAAGAUGGCACUUUGUUCCCAACGCGCGUUUUCUAGAACGCGAUGGUGAGAUUUUUUUCGGGUUUAUAUAUAAGGUCCAAGGAAAAAUAGGUCGUCUGUUUAAAAUUAAAUCAAGCAAUGAGUGUUAUAUAGUUUGUAGUAGAAGUGUAAUUAGUAAAUAAAGUGGUGGUUUUAAACAGUGUGUGUCAUAUUUGGAUCUCGUACAGUCCUCUUGAUGUUCUAUUUAAGGCGGACGGUUUGUAAUAAAUCUAUAUAGAUUAGUAUCUAAUAACCUUAACCCUCAAUUGGACACAAAACGCACAAGGUCGCGAGUUCAAUAGUCGGACGAUUCUGGUUAGGAAGGAAAAUGCAAAAGGAAGGUCAAAGGUUAAAAGCUAAAAAGUUUUUAUUAAGAACAAUCUUUUGUAAAUCACAGACUACUUCAACUACUUGAUGGAGUACAUAAACUUUGUGCAUUAUUAACACAUACUGUAAAAAAUAGAGUAACUUAUCGGGACGGGGUAAUGGACAUCCACCAACCCGCUGGGUGGACAUUGUAAAGAAGGCUUGGCAGGCUUGUGUAGAUAUACAGGCGCCUAUUAUUAGGUAGGCGGAAAAUCGUACAGAAUGCA